CGGAGGGUGCAAGCGUUAUCCGGAUUCACUGGGUUUAAAGGGUGCGUAGGUGGGCAGGUAAGUCCGUGGUGAAAUCUCUGAGCUUAACUCAGAAACUGCCGUGGAUACUAUUUGUCUUGAAUAUUGUGGAGGUAAGCGGAAUAUGUCAUGUAGCGGUGAAAUGCUUAGAUAUGACAUAGAACACCAAUUGCGAAGGCAGCUUACUACACAAUUAUUGACGCUGAGGCACGAAAGCGUGGGGAUCAAACAGGAUUAGAUACCCUGGUAGUCCACGCCCUAAACGAUGAUUACUCGACAUCAGCGAUACACUGUUGGUGUCUGAGCGAAAGCAUUAAGUAAUCCACCUGGGAAGUACGAUCGCAAGAUUG
rnacentral:rRNA from 1 species